GGCUUCCCUGUUGAAAAGAUGAUGGCUCCGAGGUCAGCCUCCAGCCUCCCACGUCCUCCCUCUGCCACUGGAGCCCUAGACUGGGAUGUGGUGGGCACAAGACUGGCACACGGGCCUGGCAGUGCUGAGCAGGUCUGACAAUUCCAGUCCCAGCCCCAGCUCUGCUCCUGUUGCCUCAUUAGGAAAAUACAACAAAUAGUAC